GGUUGCCGAUCUUGCAGAUUGUUGAACCGACGGGUGCGGAGGAGCUACCUGGAGCAGUGGAACACCAGCGUCCAGCUCGACCUCAUGCUCACUCGAUGACAUCGUCCCGCCGCACGCCACCGAGAACCAGACGAUGUUCGUUUGUUAUCUUCUACUAGCUCUGCGGAUGCUUCCAAGACAUUUGCCUUGCGUAUAUGCUGGAGUAUAAAGCCAAGAUAUCAUGGAGUAUCAUGGAAUCCAACAGUAGUUGCGGGUGUUUGUCAAAGGGCAGUUUACCGAU